rnacentral:lncRNA from 1 species
UGUCAGUAGGCCCCACCUCCUAAAGCUUCCAUGGCUACCUAAUAGCGCUACUGGCUAGCAACCAAGCUUUUAGGCUAGGAGCCUGGAGUGAACAAUUAAGAUGCAAGCAGAUUAUAUAUUCACACAUACAUUUUAGCACUUGGAGAUUGCUGUGUGAUUAUAAUUUUCCUUCGAGUGACUGUGGAGAUUCUGGCUUCAUUACAAUUCAGUUGGUUCUGAAUAUUAUUUACCUGAUCCUUAGAAGAAGCCCCUUCUCAAUGAGGUUUGCCUUAUUUAUUUACAUAGUUUGUCUACUGUCCCUCAAAUCCUUCUUCCUCUUUAUCUACUAUCCUUGUCAGGUAUAAUAUAUUAGAGAUCUGUUUCUG